UAGGGAAUCUUCGGCAAUGGACGAAAGUCUGACCGAGCAACGCCGCGUGAGUGAAGAAGGUUUUCGGAUCGUAAAACUCUGUUGUUAGAGAAGAACAAGGACGUUAGUAACUGAACGUCCCCUGACGGUAUCUAACCAGAAAGCCACGGCUAACUACGUGCCAGCAGCCGCGGUAAUACGUAGGUGGCAAGCGUUGUCCGGAUUUAUUGGGCGUAAAGCGAGCGCAGGCGGUUUCUUAAGUCUGAUGUUAAAGCCCCCGGCUCAACCGGUGAGGGUCAUUGGAAACUGGGAGUCUUGAGUGCAGGAGAGGAGAGUGGAAUUCCAUGUGUAGCGGUGAAAUGCGUAGAUAUAUGGAGGAACCCCAGUGGCGAAGGCGGCUCUCUGGUCUGUAACAGACGCUGAGGCUCGAAAGCGUGGGGAGCAAACAGG
rnacentral:rRNA from 1 species